UGAUUGUCCCUUGCGGGGCCCCGUCCCGAGGCGGUGACUCGUCCCUGUCGACUAGAGCCUGAGUGAUCAUGGCAACGGGCUCGGGCGGGGAGCGCGGAGCGGCGGCGGCGGCGGCGGCGGCGGCGGCGGUUUGGUCGCGGGCCGGGACGGCGGAGCGGCGGCGGCGGCGGCGGCGGUGACUGUGGCACCGGCACCGGCCCCGAGCGCCAUGCGGCGCGGCAGCCCCGUGCGGGAGCCGGCGGCCGAGUGGGAGGCGGCCGGGGCGGCGGCGGCGGCGGAGGCGCGAGCGGCGGGCGAGCAGGCGGGCGCGGGCGCGGCCGGGGAGCCCGAGCGCUCGGCGCGGGACGAGCAGCCCAAGGCCCUGGCCCCGUCCCGGGCGCGGCCCCGCGCCACCGAGGAGGGCGACGUGCGAGUGUCCCGACGCCUGCCGCCCGCGCUGCCCCUGGCCCCGUCGACGCCGGCGGCGCAGUUCUUCUGCCAGCUCGCCAAGGCCCGGGCGCGGGGCUCCGGCCGGGGCUACCGGCGGAACUCGGGCCCGCUGCGGCCGGUCACCGUGGACAGCUCCAAGGCCCGCACCUCCCUGGACGCGCUCAAGAUCAGCCUUCGCCAGCUCCGGUGGAAGGAGUUCCCGUUCGGCCGGCGCUUGCCUUGUGACAUCUACUGGCAUGGAGUUUCCUUUCACGACAGUGACAUACUCUCCGGCCAAGUGAACAAAUUUCCAGGCAUGACAGAGAUGGUGCGUAAAAUCACUCUGAGCAGAGCGCUGAGAAUCAUGCAGAACCUGUUUCCGGAAGAGUACAACUUCUACCCUCGCUCGUGGAUUCUGCCUGACGAGUUCCAGCUCUUUGUUAGCCAGGUCCGAACAGUGAAAGAUGGUGACCCUACCUGGAAGCCUACUUUUAUUGUGAAACCAGAUGGUGGUUGUCAGGGUGAUGGAAUUUACCUCAUUAAAGAUCCCAGUGACACUCGCCUGACUGGGACCCUCCAGAGCCGGCCGGCAGUGGUCCAGGAGUACAUCCGCAAGCCUCUCCUGAUUGACAAGCUCAAGUUUGACAUCCGUCUCUAUGUCUUGCUAAAGUCCUUGGAACCCUUAGAGAUUUAUAUAGCCAAAGAUGGACUCACUAGAUUUUGUACAGAGCCAUAUCAAGAGCCCAACCCCCAUAAUCUGCACCAUAUCUUUAUGCACUUGACCAACUACUCGCUGAAUAUCCACAGUGGCAAGUUCGUCCACUCCGACUGCGCCAGCACGGGCAGCAAGCGGACCUUCUCCAGCAUCCUUUGCAGACUGUCUUCCAAAGGCGUGGACAUCAGGAAGGUCUGGUCUGAUAUCAUCUCCUUAGUUAUUAAGACUGUCAUCGCCCUGACCCCGGAGCUCAAAGUUUUCUACCAGUCAGACAUCCCGACAGGGAGGCCGGGGCCCACAUGCUUCCAGAUCCUAGGCUUUGACAUUCUCCUGAUGAAAAACCUGAAGCCCAUGCUGCUGGAAGUGAAUGCAAACCCCAGCAUGAGAAUUGAGCAUGAAUACGAACUCUCUCCAGGGGUGUUUGAAAACAUCCCCAGCAUGGUGGAUGAAGAGGUGAAGGUGGCCGUGAUCAGAGACACCCUGCGCCUCAUAGACCCGCUGAAGAAGAAAAAGGAGAUUCAGUCUCAGCAGCCAGAAAAGCUUUUCACUUCAAAGGAAAAUCUGGACUAUGACCUGAGCGGCGACCCCAACUCCAGUCCUGAUGCCCACCUGCCCUCCAUUUGCCUCAAGCAAGUGUUCCCCAAGUAUGCCAAGCAGUUCAACUACCUGCGCCUGGUCGACAGGAUGGCCAAUUUGUUUAUCCGCUUCCUGGGGAUCAAGGGGACGAUGAAGUUGGGACCAACUGGCUUUCGGACCUUCAUAAGGAACUGCAAGCUGAGUAGCAGCAGCCUGUCCAUGGCCGCUGUGGACAUCCUCUACAUUGACAUCACAAGGAGGUGGAACUCCAUGACCCUCAACCAGCGGGAGUCAGGGAUGUGUCUGCAGGCGUUUGUCGAAGCUUUCUUCUUCCUGGCCCAGAGGAAGUUCAAGAUGCAGCCCCUCCACGAGCAGGUGGCCUCCUUGAUCGACCUGUGUGAAUAUCACCUAUCCCUGCUGGACGAAAAACGCUUGGUGUGCGGCCGGGGCCGGCGCCCCCAUAGUAGCCCUCCCCAGCAAAUGAACCCACAACCUAGUCAGCUGUAGGCAUCCCUGCACCCCGAGUGAUUGGUGUUAGCAAGCUCUCUCACUCCAGACACACUCUUCCCUGAAGGCCACCCUGUCCUCUUGGAAGAAGGUGUGCCCUUGGGGGCUGAGUACCCUGAGCUUUGCGCCCCUGCCGGGAGUCACCAGGGUUUCAGCUGCCGUCCUUUCUGUGUUCUGCAGGGUUCUCGCCUCGCAUGGCCAAUUCUGGGCCACCCUCCUCCCAGCACCUCGUGGUGACCCACCCGUCUGUGAGUCAUCAGUGGACCUAUGACCUCUGAGAUGUGACGGAUGGCACCUGCUAUGCCGGGCUCCUGGGAAGCACCAACUGGGCCAGCUUUGCUGUGCUUGGGGAUGCAGAGGAUUGGAGGGUGGGGGAGAGGACAGACCAUCUCAAAGCAGAGAGCUGUGGACGUGGAGAACAGUACCCCGGGGUCUGCUGGGGCCUCCGAGAGCCUGCUGGUCAGAGCUUGACGUCACUGCGUCUCUUUCCUUCCGCCCGUUCCCUGAAAAGAAGUGGAAAUAUCAAGAAGGCGGACACCCCGACCGUGUGCUGCAUGGGGCCACUGAGUGAAAGACGAGGACUGUCACCGUCUUCCUGACAGCUCUCCAGAGCCCGUCUCAGCCAACAUGGCAGCCCAUGCGUCCAGGAAGCUGAGUGCACCGUCAGAGCACACCAGGGAUUCUAGGGACACAGGGCCUUCUGAAUUAUUCUUCUAUUGGGUCCCAAGGCCCUCAGCUACCUAAUUGGGAGAUACCCUGUCUCGGUGUCUUGGGAACAUUAGGCAAGAUGAUGACAAGCAUAGUAAUUGCAGAAGUAUAUGCUUGAUUACCUUGACUCUGGCUUCUGGGGCCUAACAAGGGUAACAGGACAGAAGCAAAAGCUUUCUUGAGCAACGCCCAUCAAAACGAAUGAAGCCUGCCUUUCAUCUGCACACGUUUGAAGACAUUCAACUCCACUCCUCAGAUGUCUGGAGUUGGCCUUGUGAUUGGCAGAAUACGAAUCCAAAACGGCUCAGAUCCCCCCUUCAUUUCCUGAUUACUGCCCUUUAUUCCUCAGGUCUGUAAGCGAGAACUGGCCUGGCAGAGCAGGCCCUGGAAACCUGCUCUUGAAGCUCAGGAUUCAUGCUCUCUCAUCAGGCGUCUUCCAGCAGCAGAGAGCCACCCAGGCUCAAAGAGGAAAAUUCACCAGUGAGCAGUGUACCCCGAAACCUUCCCUGCCACUCUCCCAUUUCAUUCGCUGAGUGUGAGUGACAUUUCCCCAUACUCUAUUUCUCAAUAAAUAAAUAAAUAAAUAAAGCAAUGUCUGUUUCUUGUUCUCAAAAACUCAGCAGAAUGGACAGCGUUCUGGUUGCCUCUUCUCAUGAUCUGAAGUCUUGCUUCACUUUGACUGGAAAAAACAUGCUGCCUCUGUUUAUAUUAUAUGCUCAGACAUACACACACUCACAUACACUCACACAGGUGUGCUCACACACUCACAUACACACACACAUACUCAAACACUGUCAUUGAGCUUCAGCAUCAAAUGAUAAAGAGACUAACUAACUAACUACUUCCUCAUUUCUGGUUCUUUGCGGCCCUGAGUAGCAAAACCUGCUCACCCAGAGAUGCUCCGGGGAAGGGGUUCCUCCCGCAAGAAGGGAAGCGUUUGCACUGACUCUGACCAGGGCUGCAGUCCUGGGAUGCCACGGCUCCCCCAGGCCUCACCUGGACUUCAGAGAUACUUUCCCUGUUUCACAUGAGAAUGGAGAGAGCAGAGGAGGCCCUGUCUCUUCCGGAAGGACGGAGGGCUUUGGAAGUCUGACGAGAGCCUGAAUUUGCCUGACGUGUGUCGCGGCUGGUAGGUGGCCGUGGAUGGGUGACUUUUCCUCCCUGACGCAAGUCCCUCUUCGGUACAGCAGAGAUCGGAUCCGAACAGACACAAAGAGCCUGGCACGAGGCUUGGCACCUGGGAAGUGUCUUCACAAACGCCUGUUGAGAAAAGGUAUGGGCUCCAUAUGCUGAAAGCAGUGGAGGCCAGGAAACGCUCCUGCCAGGCCUCGAGCCCCGGCAGGAGGGGCUCCUGGAGGUCUGUCAGGUCCCCCAGUCCAUCUCCCUCUGCCACGCCCACCUCUUAAAAGCCUUUCACAAUUCUUUAUUAAAUUUUCAUGGCGCAUCAAGUCGAGUCCCUUGCUGCAGCCUCAGUUGUCUUGGUAACUUCGCAAAAUGCAGUAAUAAAUGAAGCUGAGUGUCGCUAACAGGCUUAUU